CAGGACUCGCAAGACUCCUACAACCCUGUGAACCUACUAUACGAACGUUGCUUCGGCGGGUGCGCCCCGGGGAUUCGUUCACGAGGCGCGUCAGCCCGCCGGCAGCCUACAAAUUCUGUUUCUUUGCGUUGGCAUCUCGAGAAAAAACAAAUAAGUUA
rnacentral:misc_RNA from 1 species